rnacentral:rRNA from 1 species
CCAAGGUAGCAUAAUAAAUAGUCUCUUAAUUGGUGACUUGUAUGAAUGAUUGGAUGAAAUAUAAACUGUCUCUUUAUUAAUAAAAUAACUUAAUUUUUUAAUUAAAAAGUUAAAAUGAUUUUAAAAGACGAGAAGACCCCAUAGAGUUUUAUAGAUAAUAAUUAAUUAAAGUUUUAUAUAAAUUUAUGAAUUAAAAUUAUUUUUUCUAUUAUGUUGGGGUGAUAAAAAAAUUAAAUUAACUUUUUUUAAAAAGUUAACAUAAAUAAAUGAAAGUAAUGAUCCAAAAUUUUUGAUUAAAAGAUUAAAUUACCUUGGGGAUAACAGCGUAAUUUUUUUUUUUAGUUCAAAUAAGAAAAAGAGUUUGCGACCUUGAUGUUGGAUUAAGAUAAAAUUU